CCUCUGGCCAGACACAACUCACAGUUUUCAACAUGGUCAAUAGCAGAGUGUAGCAGCGCUCUGGCCUGAGCCAUAAGCUGACCCUUCUUCACCCUCAACAGGUCCUCCACGGAAAAGUGGUGUGGCUGCUCCGUCAGGUGAGCAGGAAGCUGUUC